rnacentral:rRNA from 1 species
ACGAACGCUGGCGGCAUGCCUAAGACAUGCAAGUCGAACGAGAUGGUCUUUUGAAAGAGGAGUGCUUGCACAAUUCUCGAUAUAGAUUCAUCUAGUGGCGCACGGGUGAGUAACACGUAGGUAACCUACCUUUUAGAUUGGGAUAACAGUUGGAAACGAUUGCUAAUACCAAAUGAUAUAUAGGAGGGGAACUUUCUAUAGUAAAAGGGUGCUUUAAAGGCAUCGCUUUAAGAUGGGCCUGCGGUGUAUUAGCUAGUUGGUAGGGUAAUGGCCUACCAAGGCAACGAUGCAUAGCCG